GGCAACAGCUCAAUUUGAAUCUGGCCUCUUUGGGGUCCGAGUUGUAAUUUGUAGAGGAUGUUUCGGGCACCGCUCCGGUUUAAAUUUCUUGGAACAGAAUGUCAAAGAGGGUGAGAACCCCGUCUUGGACCGGCAGUAGGGCCCAUGUGAAACUCCUUCGACGAGUCGAGUUGUUUGGGAAUGCAGCUCAAAAUGGGUGGUAAAUUUCAUCUAAAGCUAAAUAUUGGCCAGAGACCGAUAGCGCACAAGUAGAGUGAUCGAAAGAUGAAAAGCACUUUGAAAAGAGAGUUAAACAGUACGUGAAAUUGUUGAAAGGGAAGCGCUUGCAACCAGACUUGCGCGCGGCGGUUCCCCCUUCCUUUUGGUUGGGUUAUUCCGCCGUGUCCAGGCCAACAUCGGUUCUGGGGGUCGGUUAAAGGCCUGGGGAAUGUAUCUACCCUUCGGGCGUAGACUUAUAGCCCCGGGUGUCAUGCGACCUCCCGGGACCGAGGAACGCGCUUCGGCUCGGA
rnacentral:rRNA from 1 species